GGGCCUAUAGUCUAGUGGUACGACGCUACAUUCGCAUUGUAGAAGCGGCGGUUCAAUUCCGCCUAGGUCCACUA
rnacentral:tRNA from 1 species